UUGAACGCUGGCGGCAUGCUUUACACCUGCAAGUCGAACGGCAGCGCGGGCUUCGGCCUGGCGGCGAGUGGCGAACGGGUGAGUAAUACAUCGGAACGUGCCCAGUAGUGGGGGAUAGCUCGGCGAAAGCCGGAUUAAUACCGCAUACGACCUGAGGGUGAAAGCGGGGGAUCUUCGGACCUCGCGCUAUUGGAGCGGCCGAUGGCAGAUUAGCUAGUUGGUGGGGUAAAGGCCUACCAAGGCGACGAUCUGUAGCUGGUCUGAGAGGACGACCAGCCACACUGGGACUGAGACACGGCCCAGACUCCUACGGGAGGCAGCAGUGGGGAAUUUUGGACAAUGGGCGAAAGCCUGAUCCAGCAAUGCCGCGUGUGUGAUGAAGGCCUUCGGGUUGUAAAGCACUUUUGGCGGGAACGAAAAGGACUGUGCCAAUACCACGGUUCGAUGACGGUACCCGCAGAAUAAGCACCGGCUAACUACGUG
rnacentral:rRNA from 1 species